CCCUGCAGCAGGGGCUGGGGAGAGGGGAAUUGGCUGGCCCCACAUUUGAAGAUGGCACCUGAUGCUUGGGUCGGCAAAUGUCUGAAAGGCUUUGCAGCUUGCUGGGCAGCCCAGGUGGGAACUUACCUCUUGGUGAAAGCAUCAGGAAUCUCCCAAUCCCUCAGGGAUGGGUUCUCGCUAUGUUAACCAGGCUGGACUUGAACUCCUGGACUCAAGUGAUUCUUGCCAGAACUCCUGGCCUCCCAGAGUGCUGGGAUUACAGAUGAGUUUGCUGCAGAGUGCAGAGGAACUUGCUGCAGGUCAUAGAUCAGGGCUGGUCUUAGAGUUAUGUGUCCUUCCUUCAACUUGAUGAAAACAACUCUCCUGGCACUUCUCUGGAGCAAAGCCGGCGGUCCUCCUUGGAUACGGAACUGAGACACGAAGAGUUU
rnacentral:lncRNA from 1 species